rnacentral:rRNA from 1 species
CCCGCUGAACUUAAGCAUAUCAAUAAGCGGAGGAAAAGAAACUAACAAGGAUUCCCUUAGUAACGGCGAGUGAAGAGGGAAGAGCUCAAAUUUUGAAUCUGAUAUCUUCGAUGUCAGAGUUGUAAUCUAGAGAAGUGCUUUCCGCGAUGGACCGUGCACAAGUCUCCUGGAACGGAGCGUCACAGAGGGUGAGAAUCCCGUCUAUGACACGGACUCCCAGGGCUUAUGUGAACUGUUCUAACAGAGCCGAGUUGUUUGGGAAAGCAACCUCUAAAUGGGUGGUAAAAUCCAUCUAAAGCUAAAUAUUGGCGAGAGACCGAUACAGACCAAGUCCCAGAAGGAAAAGAGAAAAACACUUUGAGAAAAAAAGUAAACCAGUCGGGAAAAUGGUGAAAAGGAAACGCCUGGAAUUAAGCACCGUGGUCCAGAAAUCACCCUGGUUUCUCCUGGGUGUCCUCUUGGGGGAAGGGUCCAGCUCAAAUUCCGUCAGAUGAAAAAAGCUCAGGGAAAGGUGCCGUCUUCGGAUGGGGUAAAACCCUUGGUCGCAAACCUCGAAUAGAAUCGAAGAACUCCACCUCCCGCAAGGCCGGGUUUUCACCCACGUACAUGCUUAGGAUGCUGGCAUAAUGGCUCUAAUCGACCCGUCUUGAAACACGG